rnacentral:lncRNA from 10 species
ACAGGCGUGAGCCACUGCGCCCAGCCAGGAGCUCAUUUUUUUAACUGCUAUAUACUAUUCUGUUAUGGAUGUCCCAUAAUUUUAAAAAUGGUUAUCAAUAUAGCUUUUUUAUUAAAUAAGUGGAUGCAUAUGAUAAAACAAAUAAAAAUGAUUCAGAGCCACUGCACCCGGCUAAACACUAUAUUUAAACAUCUGUUUCUUGAUUUAUCACCUUUUGGCAGUAUCUAUUGAUUACCCUCUCUCAAGAAUGAGAAAAUUAGCUCACUUUCCUUGAUUCUCCCUUCUCCCUCCUCCAACUACGAUUUUUUGUUAUUUCACAUUGUCAAGGCUUCCAAUACUUUCUGUUCUGCUAAUAUAAUUAGUUCUUUCAUUCUAAAAAUUGAAAACCAAUACACAGCAUUUUAAUUGUAUGUUUAUGAAAAAUCUUUCAAACAUCAAUUUCAAACAAACUUCAAACAAUUUCAAACUUUUAUUUUUUUUUCUAUGUUCUUCACUUCUGGAUCAUAUUCACCUGCCACCACCGCUUGCACCACAUGACAGUCUUUCUUGGAUUCUUUUUCACGUUGAUAGAGUACUCCCCCUCACAUAAUUUUUUCACAGAGCAUUAUAAACUUUCUGGUUCUCGCAUGUCUGAAAAUUUUUUUUUUUUUUUUUGAGAUGGAGUCUUGCUCUGUUGCCCAGGCUGGAGUGCAGUGGCGCAAUCUCGGCUCACUACAAGCUCCACCUCCCCAGUUCACGCCAUUCUCUCGCCUCAGCCU